ensembl:lncRNA
UUGGAUCCCAUUACAGAUGGUUGUGAGCCACCAUGUGGUUGCUGGGAUUUGAACUCAGGACCUCUGGAAGAGCAGUCAGUGCUCUUAACCGCUGAGCUAUCUCUCCAGCCCCUCUAGGAAUUUUCUACAUACAUUUUUCAUUUAGUUGAAAUGAGGUUGCCCUUGUGGGGAUAGGUAUUUUGUUCUCAUUGUUUAGAACUGGGUAGGUGACAGGUUACACAGCUUCAGGUGAAAGGGGGAAUCUGAACAGGGUGAAUUUGGAAGCUGACUUGUUUGGAAUGGAUGCAGAUACAAUUGUUGAUCUGUUUGUAUGGACACUGAAGAGUUCAGAUACUUAGUCUGAUCCAUUCACUGAAAGCUGAUUUUAAUACUGUACUGUAUGCAGACAUUUGUUAUCUUGACUGAACUUCAAUAUAAGGUUUGUGGAAACAGGGCUUUGAAGGAGGACUCAUUUUGUUUGUUUAAAAAUAUUCUCCUAAAGUUAGAAAUUCCCAUUCUAAGGAUGGAUUCCUUGAUCCUGGUUGGUUUGAUUAUAUUCUGGUAACAGUUGAAUCUGGUUGUUUUUGAGUACAUAUUCCAAACUCUAAGACACUUUUUCUUAAUGAAAAAUAUAUAUCUAAAUCCAUAAAAAUUGUGUUGGAACUGGAGAUGGAUGAGAUAGAUGGCUUAGUGAUUAAGAGUACUGCUCUGGCAGAGGACCUGAAUUCAGUUCCCAGCCCUCACAUGGCAGCUCACAACUGCAGUCCCUCUUCUGACCUCCUUCAGAAUCUCCUUUAUACACACACACACACACACACACACACACACACACACACACACACACACACAAUAAUUAAAAGUACAACUUAAACUUUGAAAAGAUGGUUAAUUUCCUUUUAAGGCAAGAUUUGGGGGAACAACCAGGAAUUAUGAUUUUACCUUAUGGAUAGAGAUGUAAUUAGCCAUUUCCCCUAAAAUCCUAACUCUUCUGUAUGACAGCUUAACUGUUUUCACUUGACUUCUACUUCCUCUUUAUGGGGAAACCACUACUAAGAGGUACUGUGAGAAAAACUGCUGGGGAAGGGGUUUCUAGAUCCCAAAAUAAGUAUAAGAGAUACCACAGUAUUAGCAUAAGAGUCAUAUUAUUAGUUUUUAUAAUUCUGAAGCUUCAUUUUGAUUACAGUUUGAAAGAGCAGCUAAAGAGAAGUGUCUAUACAUGGGAGGAGAGCGCAAACAUACAUAGAGACCUUGAAGGUGAAUCUUCUAAGGCAGGGAAGAAGCAGAGACUUAUAUCCAUUGAAUCAAAAUGCAAGAACAUACCAUAUCCAAGGCUGACCAGUUCUCUGGUGGUUACUGCUACUGAUCCAUCCAAACUGCUGGACUUCUUCAUACCCAAGGUCUUCAGGCAGUAUCUAAUGGGAAGUCAACUUAAAGGAACCAGACCAUCAUUUCCCAGCCUGCCCUUUUAUUCUGUAGCUACCUCUAUGUGAGGAAAGGAUAGAAAACAUUCAAGACAUCAUACGGGCUUACGAUCUACAGAUUCCAACCAGUAGCAGUGGCUGACUCCUACAUAGAAGACUGGGAACUACAAACAGGCUGGGGUCACCUCAGUGACAUCUGACGCUGUCCAACCAGAAGUCUGACUUGUGUGUUGCAGGAAUUGAAGAAUGUACUAAAAGACUAAAAUAUUUCGUCU